rnacentral:tRNA from 1 species
AUAUAUUUAGUAUAAUAAAUACUUUUAUUUUCCAAAUAGAAAAUUUCUUAAAAGAAAAUAUAUA